AGUGGACUAGUCAGAUCACUGU
rnacentral:snRNA from 1 species